rnacentral:SRP_RNA from 1 species
UGAUAUGCGGCUGCUCGUGGAUACUGUUUUCUUCCACGGCCCGAAGCCCCUCGUCUUGCAGCUCGGCCUUUUCCUCAACUCCAUUUCUGCCGAUGACAUGCGGGCUCCGCACUUGCGGGCGGGCGCGCUUCCCACGCAGCUCUUGAGGAUU